AGAUCAUAUCUCAAAAAGACAAAAAAAUAAGGGCCAGGGAUUUAGCUCACUGGCAUAAGUGGCAUAAGUGAGCUAAAUGCCUGGCAAGCAUGAGGUCAUGAGUUCGAUCCCCAGUACCC
rnacentral:tRNA from 13 species